UCUCUUCACACCUUGAUGGUGAUACGAGUUCACCAUUAUCUCCAUCUCCUCGAACAACUUAUGUAACGGAGUCUCCUCCACGAUUCUAGCCUCGUGUCUGUGCCCAUCGUAGUUGUCAUAAUCUAUAUGAUUUGUCGUUGUCAUCGUAGUUCCGAGUUCUUUGUCGAUGUCUUGGUAAAGAGUUCCACCUGCGGCAACGUUGAGAAUCUGAGAGCCACGACAAAUGCCUAAGAAAGGAAUGUUUCUUUCGAGACAGAGUCUAGCUAGAGUCAGCUCAAUGCUGUCUUUCUCUCGGUCGAUGGUCAUGUCCUCUGCAUGCGCCUUCUUAAUCUCCUCCAUGUCUUCUGGCGAGAGGUCUGAUAAUUCAUCGUCCGCGUAGAGAGAAGGAUCGACAUCUUCUCCUUCGCAGAGGAGGACACCAUGAAUAGGCUCGAAGCUCUGGAGCAUAGAAUGGAUCCCAUUGACACGUGGGACAAUGACAGGGACGGCACCGGAGGAGACGAUGAGAUCGAGAUGGUAUUCUCCUACGAAGUCCACGUACUUGUUCUUGCGG